rnacentral:tRNA from 1 species
GGUCCGUUGGUCAAGGGGUUAAGACACCGCCUUUUCACGGCGGUAACACGGGUUCGAAUCCCGUACGGANGA